UACGUAGGGUGCAAGCGUUGUCCGGAAUUAUUGGGCGUAAAGAGCUCGUAGGCGGUCUGUCGCGUCUGCUGUGAAAACCCGGAGCUCAACUCCGGGCCUGCAGUCGAUACGGGCGGACUUGAGUGUUGCAGGGGAGACUGGAAUUCCUGGUGUAGCGGUGAAAUGCGCAGAUAUCAGGAGGAACACCGGUGGCGAAGGCGGGUCUCUGGGCAACUACUGACGCUGAGGAGCGAAAGCGUGGGGAGCGAACAGG
rnacentral:rRNA from 1 species